UCUUUUACGAGUCAUCCUCUUAUCGAUUUUUCUAUCCCUCCUCCCCUUUCCCUUGCCGUCUCUUUCUCUUGCCUUGUGAAUCCUCCUAAACUUCUCUCUCCGCUUCUCCUGCUACUCUCUCCCCUCCCGCUCAUCAUCAUAUCAUGAUGAUGGAUGGGUGGUGGUCAUUCUUGUUGCAGACGAAACCAGCAGAGGGAGGAGCUUUUUGCAGCGCGAGCGUCGGGAAGAAACCCCUCUUCCCGCGGCCCCUUUUUUAAGCGAGACUUUUGGGAGGUUUUUCUCCGUUUGUGGGGAAUGUUGUCUGGCUCGAGGCCACUCACACGUGUGGGAGGAGAAGCAGGAAAAGGAAAUGGAAAAAUAAAGCUUCCCCUUCCUUCCUAGUUCCUUCCUUCCCCCCGCCUUUCCUCCCCCUGCUUUUCCUUUUUCCGUUUCCGUUUGCUUUGCUCGUGUGAGUGCCGUCGGACCAGGCUUCAUUCCCCUCAAAACCUCACUCCCCGCUCUGAGCCCCAAAUCUCUCCUUAGAUUCUGAUUUUGUUGAUGAAUAAGGUAAGUUCAUCGAUCCCCAUCUCGUUAUCUUUAUUCUUUUUGCCCUUUUUGGUUGGUGUUUUCCCUGAUAGGAGUAAUGAUGGUCGAUUUUCGGGUCGAUGGAAGGGAAAGAUUGGAGUAAUGAUGGCCGUAAAAAGGCCUGGUCAUGAUGGAUUUCCGGCCAUCUGGUGCAAGCAUUCAUGGUUUUAUGAUUGUGCGUACUUCUAUCAUCAUUUCUUUACUGGAUCUGUGGAUUUGUGUUUCUUUUUAUGCAUAUUAAUGAUUUUUUUCUUCUUUCUGCUCGAAUAUGAACGAAAAUGCUUUCCUUUUUUUUUUUUUUUUACUUCGGCUGCAAUAAUUCGUCUCCAUGAAAUUUUUGUUGUUUUUCCCUGUCCAGUUUUUGUUUUUUUCCUCAGGUAUAAGGUGUUGGGUGAAGAAGGGCCCUUUCAGUUUUAUAUUUCUGGCUUUACUUGUUGAUUCUUUUGUUGGGUUGUCAUUUCUCCUGCAUUUUUUUUUUGUUUCCGACUGUUUGUGUGAUUGGUUUAUGAUUCUAAGCGGAGUUUAAGUCUCGUCUCAAAGUCGAAGCAAAUGGGUGUGCUUUUCUUAUUAACUCGGGAAUAAUGUGGAGCGCUUAAUCGGAUAUUUCCAUUCAUUUUUUUCACUCGUGAUUUUCCAUUAUCUAUUGUCCUCGCACUUGUGCGGUGUUUGUGUUUGAUAGUCAUUAUCCUGAAACUCAACACACAGACAGACAGACACACAGACAGAGAGAGGGAGGAGAUGACGAUGAGUUUUAGACUCGUUAGGUUGAGGACUUAUUGCAACACUCGAUCUGGAUGAUGGGUGUUCAAUUUGCUGAUCUCUUGGAUCUCAACUGCUUGUUUCUCGCGCUCCUGUUUAUCAUCUCUUGAUGUUUCCUUGAUUCUCGCAUCAUUCACUCUGUCCAUGAAGCUGCCUUGUGAGUCUUUCUCUCCCUCCCUCUCUCUGUCCCAAAACGCAUUCUCCUGUGCUUAUCUUUUUCGAUCAUUUUACUCCUCCUUUUAAUCUCUUUUUGCUUCACACCUGAAGCUUUCAUCUUUUUCCCACCGAAACGCCUUUUGUGUAAUGGGUACAAAGUUAGCUGAAAGUGGAAGAAAAAGCGAGAGAAAAGAGGGUGAUGAUGCUCAUGGGGGAGGGAUGAAGAAUCAUUGUGAACACGGCCAAACGCAAAGGUGAGAGUGAGAGAGAGAGAGAGAGAGAUGCCUGAAAAUCAUGUUGAACAUACCGAAACCCAUGAAACAAAGAAGAGAGAGAGAGAGAGAUGGGAUCUUCAGUCCACAGGCCACGCAUCCAUAGAAGUUGCUACGUCAUGGAUUCCAAAUGCGCAUUUAUUCCUUCCAUCCCCUUUUUAUCACUAUCGGUUUCACGCGUAGAACAAGAUCAAUAGCAAGAAAAAUAGCGAAAAAAGAAAGGGAUAGCAUGUUCCAACCAUUUAAGAUCGUUCGUUUUUCGAAAUUUAUGGCUGAAAACAAGCAGUGAUUAGAAAUUUGAACACGAGUUUGACACUUUGACCGAUUUAAGAUCGGUCCCUUUUAGGGACUACACUUCCCUAUUGGACUAAGCCUAGUGCAUUGGGACAUCGGGAAUUGAUCCAAUGUGCUUUUUUUAAGUAGCUAUUUUUUACUUUGGAUAUAUAUAUAUAUAUAUAUAUUUUCAGAACGACCGCCAUGGUAUUAGAAUUGUUAUUGUAAAUAUAUCAAGAAAGCUGAAUCGUGGAGUUGUUGUCCAUAUAGCUCCUCUGAUUUGUCUGUUCUUGAAAAUCAAUACUGAAUGAAAGAGAGAGAGUAGAGCAAUGGUGAAGUACCAAGUUUCUAAGAUAUCAUGGCUCGAGGCAAGCUUUCUUAGGACAUAAGAUCAGGAUCGUUCACAUUGGCGCCGCUACCCAACGCCUCAAAAUCAGGCAGUGCAAUAAACGGAGGGAGAGAGAGAGAGAGAGAGAGAGGUUGAAACUUGAAAAUGGUGAACAUUAAUUUGUUAAGUAAACUUUCAUGCAUAUUUUCGUGACUUACUGCGGUGUUCAGCGUGCAGCAAUGAAUGAAUGCAUGAAUGAAUGUGAAAGAGAGAGAAGCAGCAGCAGAAGAAACAGGAAGGGACUGCCCUAUCGUUUUUUAAAGCAAAAAUUUGUAGUUAUCUUUUUCGGAAACCGAAGUUUUGUUGAGUAAUUCAAUGUUGACAGGAUCUUUGACUUGCCCUUGAGCUAGGGUUUCCUCUCGAGUCGUGUCUUUAGAGAGAGAGAAGGAUCGACGGGAGAGGCAGAAAAAAUUGGAGGUGUCCUGGAGUAUGCAGGUGGGGCCCACGUGCACGUACUACUCUUGGACUCCUUUUCUGGUCCGCCUCCAGCUCACGGUUUCGACGAACGGCUGAGAUCAGCUGGAAGAUAGGAAACGUACGGUCUUGAUUUUGUCCGUUUCUCAUUUUAAAGCCCUACUGCUGUCAUCUUCUCCGCUGUCUUCGUGUUGCAGGAGCUCGCAAAAUAGUUGCUGACACACCGAAGCAGGUUUCCCGCAGGGGCGAUUCCUCAUUUAUCUCACUGUAAGACUUUUUACUCAUGCAGGUUUAAGGGCCUUGUCUUCACCGAUUCUGCAAACUUGGUAGCCUGAAACGUCCUCCACAUGCAGGUAUCGUCCACCGUUUGUGCCUUCAUAUCUAGAAAAGUUUUUCCGCUUCGAGUUUGAUUUGCGAUCCAUUGGAGAAAAUGAAGAUUCUUGCUUAGUUCUCUUCCUCGUUCAUAGAAACUAUCGUUUAUCAUAAUGUGAUGCUUUUUGAGCACGUACAGCGCUUUCGUGCUUCUUCAGAAAGCGCAACGUCAACAGGAGAUCCUGUCGCCAACUUCUGUUAUGAGUAUGAAGAUUUUACUUUACAGAACUCUCGAUCAGCAGCUUCGUCACCACGAUAAGCAGACGAACACUGCUGUAAAGAUGCUGCAUGGAGAAAAGAGUACUGCUGCUCUGGUCAGUGGAUGUUUCUAGCAUCAACAGCCGUCAGAUUUGGAAUCCACAGUUUGCGAGAUGAACGAUCGAUAUCGCGAAACUGUAAUCCUUGCAUGCUAAAACCCAUGAAUCUAAUGUCUAAACCUUUCCCUUUGACAUUCAUAGAUUUGGUGACAUUUGAAGGCAAGAUUCUCAAGUUUACAGUCUGCUAGAACCGUAAAAUCGAGAUGGGUCCUCGUAAAGCCAGAUAAUAUAUAUAUAUAUAUGUAUAUAUAUAUAUAUCUAUAUAUAUAUAUAUAUAUAUAUAUAUAUAUAUAUUAGAAUCAAUCAAAGUGUCCGUUAAAAGGUUUGUACAACAUGUGUCACUGUCACUGAGGACUAUUUUGUUUUCUUUUUUCAACUGCAAAUAGUAGCAUUGCAACAUUGUUGUCUAUUGUACUAUAAGUCUACUUAGAUAAGUCUACUUAGAUCCCGAAGCAGUUCUGGUGAAGAGAAGGAGAAAGGGUUUUGCCCUCUUUUGACA